rnacentral:misc_RNA from 1 species
UGGACUACACGGGUUUCUAAUCCUGUUUGCUCCCCACGCUUUCGCGUCUCAGCGUCAGUAUCGGUCCAGGUAGCCGCCUUCGCCACCGGUGUUCCUCCGAAUAUCUACGGAUUUCACCCCUACACUUGGAAUUCCACUACCCUCUCUCGUACUCAAGUCUGCCAGUUUCCAAUGCACUUCCCGGGUUGAGCCCGGGGCUUUCACACCAGACUUAACAGACCGCCUACACGCGCUUUACGCCCAAUAAUUCCGAACAACGCUUGCACCCUCCGUAUUACCGCGGCGG